rnacentral:rRNA from 1 species
CCUACGGGUGGCAGCAGUGAGGAAUAUUGGUCAAUGGACGGAAGUCUGAACCAGCCAUGCCGCGUGCAGGAUGACGGCUCUAUGAGUUGUAAACUUCUUUUGUACGAGAAUAAUAGUUCUUACGUGUAGGGUUUUGAAUGUAUCGUACGAAUAAGGAUCGGCUAACUCCGUGCCAGCAGCCGCGGUAAUACGGAGGAUUCGAGCGUUAUCCGGAUUUAUUGGGUUUAAAGGGUGCGUAGGCUGUCGGAUAAGUUAGAGGUCAAAUUUCGGGGCUUAACCCCGUGCCUGCCUCUGAUACUGUUAGACUAGAGAGCGGAUGCAGUAGGCGGAAUGAGUAGUGUAGCGGUGAAAUGCUUAGAUAUUACUCAGAACACCGAUUGCGCAGGCAGCUUGCUAAGCCGCAUCUGACGCUGAUGCACGAAAGCGUGGGUAGCGAACAGGAUUAGAUACCCGGGUAGUC